rnacentral:misc_RNA from 1 species
GUCAGUAUGUUGGCAAAUGUAAGCCACACGCCAUGGUCACACUUGAGGUGUCCCAGUUCAUGAGCCAACACAGCCUGCAGUUCUUUUCUAGUGAGCAGCUCCACAAGGCUUGUAUGAACAACUAUGAAUGGCUUUUUGCCACUGAUCGCUAAGGUGUAAGCAUUAGGAACAGGGUUCUGCCGAAUGUACAAGUCAGGAGCGUCUGUGUUCAAUAGUUUUGCUGCCUCG